rnacentral:tRNA from 1 species
GGGCGGUUAGCUCAGUUGGGAGAGCACCUGCCUUACAAGCAGGGGGUCACUGGUUCGAGCCCGGUAUCGCCCACCA